UACGAAGGGGGCUAGCGUUGCUCGGAAUCACUGGGCGUAAAGCGCACGUAGGCGGCUUUUUAAGUCAGAGGUGAAAUCCUGGAGCUCAACUCCAGAACUGCCUUUGAUACUGAGAAGCUUGAGUCCGGGAGAGGGUAGUGGAAUUCCCGGUGUAGUGGUGAAAUGCGUAGAUAUCGGGAGGAACACCAGUGGCGAAGGCGACUACCUGGCCUGUUCUUGACGCUGAGGCGCGAAAGCUAGGGGAGCAAACGGG
rnacentral:rRNA from 1 species